GCUUUGUUUACAUGUAAAAUAGAAAUAUAAAUAAAAUAUUAAUACACUACAAGUUUUCAUUUAUAUUUUAAACGCAGGAGUUUUCAUUGGCUAUUUGUUUGCAUAAGAAAAUAAAGCCUUUAAGUUUGAACCAGUUAUACGGAGCUGCUAGGAGAAAAAGAGCGAUGGUUCGGAAAGAAAAUGAGAAGGAAAAUAAACUAAAAACUUUUAGAUUGCGUUUGUUGAACAAAAAAUGAAGAUAAGCACAAUCUGUUCGAUAACAUAGAGAUAUAAAUGGUUGCAAAGAGUCACAAAACAUCUGGGAGUCUUCAAGACAUUGAAGAUUCUCAGAAAAAUCAGUUAUAAUUUCAAGUUGUCUGUCACAAAAAGUAUAUUAAAAUAAUCUUGAUACACCAACUAGACCAAUUUUUAAUAAUCUAACUUGUGGAAAUCAAUAUCAGAAACUGAUAUUGAUUUCCACAAGAAAUCAAUAUCAGUUUCUUUAUUGAACGACAAUAAUUUUAAUUGGAAUCUCCUCAAAUCCUAAAAGGUUUUUUAAAAAACCAAAUAGAAUGCAAAUUUGAAUUCAGCUUGUUAUCUUAUGAUGGAGGUUAUAUCUUAUAUAAUUGAUACAGCUUGUUAUCUUAUGAUGGAGGUUACAUGGAAAUUAUAGAAAGUUUUCAGAUCGCAAGAUUUAACACAUUUAAACAGUUUUUAAGUCAUUAAAAGCGAUAUUACUUAUCCUGGAUGUCACAAAUUAAUUAAGUUUUUUAAAUACUCGUUUAAAUACAGUUUUUUAAAGCGAUAUUACUUAUCCUGGAUGUCACAAAUUAAUGAUUCAAGAAAUGUUAUUUAAGAAGUUCGAAAAUCAAUAUACUUUACCAUCAUUACAGACGGCACUCCCGGUUCAUCUUACAGCAAACAAUUUUUUUUUUAUAUAUUGCGGCAUUAAUUAGCUAUGGGAGGUCUGGGAAAGUUUCCUUGAGCUAGAAGACCUCGAAAAGAAGAAGAGGGCUGAUAUUGUAAAAUAAAUAUCGAAUGUGUUAGAAAAGAAUGACCUUGAUGUUAAAAAUAUUCGUGGUCAAAGCUAUGAUAAUGACGCUAUCUACAAUGUAUCUACAAUGUAUCUAAAAUGGAUUUCAAGUUUUGAUUAGACAGAGUAUUCCAAGAAUAAUUUUCUUUCUUUGCUCUGCCCGCAUCCUAUAAAAUUCUAUUUUAGAAAUAUUAUCAUCAUUUUUUUU